CCUACGGGGGGCAGCAGUGGGGAAUAUUGCACAAUGGGGGAAACCCUGAUGCAGCGACGCCGCGUGAGGGAGGAAGUAUUUCGGUAUGUAAAGCUCUAUCAGCAGGGAAGAAAAUGACGGUACCUGACUAAGAAGCCCCGGCUAACUACGUGCCAGCAGCCGCGGUAAUACGUAGGGGGCAAGCGUUAUCCGGAUUUACUGGGUGUAAAGGGAGCGUAGGCGGUUUAGCAAGUCAGAAGUGAAAGCCCGGGGCUCAACUUCGGGACUGCUUUUGAAACUGUUGAACUAGAGUGCAGGAGAGGUAAGUGGAAUUCCUAGUGUAGCGGUGAAAUGCUUAGAUAUCACGAAGAACACCGAUUGUGAAGGCAGCUUACUAAACUGUCACUGACAUUGAUGCUCGAAAGCGUGGGUAUCAAACAGGAUUAGAUACCCGUGUAGUC
rnacentral:rRNA from 1 species